AUUUGACUAAUGUACCGGAGGCUGCAAGAAAACAAGUUAGUUUAUUGCUAGUUUAUUUAUGCUAAAAACACUACGUCAACGCCAAUGGGGUCGAAGUUCCACUAAUUUGAACUUGAACUAGGACGUACAUGACUAGGCCAGCAUGUAAGGUAGGCAAGAUGUUGCCAACAUAGACACCUUCAUAAGGCACACGGGCAAUGGACAACGGGAUGAUAAAACAUAAAAAAAAAAGAAAAAAUAGACUUGUUGACUUGUAAUUUAAAAAUGUCUAGCCUAUCAACCUACUAGCACAAUUUGUUUCUGAUUCUGAUGUUACAGCAAACAAACUUAUUUCUAAGCUUGGCCCGAGUACAAGUCAUGCUAUUGAUACUACUUGAUCACACAGAUGAGAAGUUAGGUAAUUGUGUUGCAUUGUAAAGUUAUAGUAGUGGUCACAAUUUCACACAUUUUUCUUUAUUCACAACAGAAAACAAUAGUCUUUCUAAAGACUCAAUCACCAUCCUCCAUCACCACCUCCACUUGUGGUGUGGCAGUUUUUGCCAAAGAAAAAUAAUCUCAAGACUCAUUCUGUCUUUUGCGGUGCUGCAGACUUUUCAGGCUUGUUCCAGACCAGCUCUGCCAGAGUGGUGUCUCUGUCACGUGUGACACUGUGCCUGUCUGUCUGCACACCCUGCACUGCACUCAUAUACAACAGAACCCACUAACGCCUACCUGCAAACAUAUCUACAACAAGAACCGAACACUUCCUGAGAACAUAUUUGACUGCACAUACUCUACUCUGUACAUACUCUACUCUGUGCCAUUUUCAGACUAAAUAUUCCUUUGAAACUAACUGAAUACUCCUUUGAGACUUGAAUACUUUGAGAUUUGAUUACUCCUUUGAGACUUGAAUACUUAUUUGAGACUUGAAUACUUUGAGAUUUGAAUACUUUAAGAUUUGAUUACUGCUUUGAGACUUGAAUACUUUGAGAUUUGAAUACUUAUUUGAGACUUGAAUACUUUGAGAUUUGAUUACUCUUUUCAGACUUGAAUACUCAUUUGAAACUGAAUACUGUGAAUACUACUUUGAAUUAUACUGACACUCUGAAUCCCACUGUGAACCAGCAGCAUCCUGUAACAUACAGUACCAAACAUAUUUCAGACAGUAAUUUACCACUUUCUGAGAGCACAUACUCUGAACUAUAUAAAGAUUCUGAAACAUACUAAGAAUUACCUGUGAACUAUUCGGAUAGAGAACUAUUACUGUGAACUUUACAAACCUCAACCAUUUAUAUAUUUGAAUAAUAUCUGUCAAAAGUUGUCUUUGCUGUUGCAUACCUACUUUUACAUCUGAGCUGUGCUGCAAGGCUGAACUUGGGGUGUGUGAGGACUUCAACUUGAGGGCUCCCUCUCAUUCUUCAUCGGUGUCAUCAAGUGCUCCCUCUACCUAACAGUUCCAGUGCCAUAUUUCAUAAUUUAAUCAAUAAUUAAACUAAAGUAAAUAUUUUGUGUAAA